AGGCUAAAGUGCACUUUUCCCCCUCUAACUUUCAAAAACUUGCAAUUUUGGCCCCCUAAGUACCAAAACCACAAUUUAGCCCCCCUAAGAUUUAGCCCCAUUGCAACUUUGGUCCUUUUGACCAAUUUUGACCUAGUCAACGCUGAUAUGGCAUGCCACAUGUGUAUUUUUUAAUUUUCUUUUUUUUAAAAGCCACAUAAUCAUUUAUUAAAUUAAAAAAAAUGAAAAAAGAAAUUGAAAAAUUAAAAAAAAAAAUCAGAAAU
rnacentral:lncRNA from 1 species